CGCCAGACUCCUACGGGAGGCAGCAGUGGGGAAUAUUGGGCAAUGGGCGCAAGCCUGACCCAGCAACGCCGCGUGAAGGAAGAAGGCUUUCGGGUUGUAAACUUCUUUUAAGAGGGAAGAGUGGAAGACGGUACCUCUUGAAUAAGCCACGGCUAACUACGUGCCAGCAGCCGCGGUAAUACGUAGGUGGCAAGCGCUGUCCGGAUUUACUGGGUGUAAAGGGCGUGUAGCCGGGCUGACAAGUCAGAUGUGAAAUCCGGGGGCUCAACCCCCGAACUGCAUUUGAAACUGUUGGUCUUGAGUAUCGGAGAGGCAGGCGGAAUUCCUAGUGUAGCGGUGAAAUGCGUAGAUAUUAGGAGGAACACCAGUGGCGAAGGCGGCCUGCUGGACGACAACUGACGGUGAGGCGCGAAAGCGUGGGGAGCAAACAGGAUUAGAUACCCGAGUA
rnacentral:rRNA from 1 species